rnacentral:rRNA from 1 species
GAUGAACGCUGGCGGCGUGCCUAAUACAUGCCAGUCGAGCGGACAGACGAGGAGCUUGCUCCUCUGACGUUAGCGGCGGACGGGUGAGUAACACGUGGAUAACCUACCUAUAAGACUGGGAUAACUUCGGGAAACCGGAGCUAAUACCGGAUAAUAUAUUGAACCGCAUGGUUCAAUAGUGAAAGACGGUUUUGCUGUCACUUAUAGAUGGAUCCGCGCCGCAUUAGCUAGUUGGUAAGGUAACGGCUUACCAAGGCAACGAUGCGUAGCCGACCUGAGAGGGUGAUCGGCCACACUGGAACUGAGACACGGUCCAGACUCCUACGGGAGGCAGCAGUAGGGAAUCUUCCGCAAUGGGCGAAAGCCUGACGGAGCAACGCCGCGUGAGUGAUGAAGGUCUUCGGAUCGUAAAACUCUGUUAUUAGGGAAGAACAAAUGUGUAAGUAACUAUGCACGUCUUGACGGUACCUAAUCAGAAAGCCACGGCUAACUACGUG